UAGAUACAAGAGAGCGGCCAGAUUUCCAGCGACUCCAGAGAGCCAACUCCAGGGGAUCUCUUCUGCCAAUGGCUACCACUCCUCGCCUCCGUCCUCCGCGCACCGGCCGGCGAACCUGCGUACGCACCUCCCUGGCUCCCUCUCCCCUCCCGCCUCCGCUGUACCGUGGGAGCCCGGCCAGCUGCCCAGGGUGGCCGGGCCUUGGCUCCGCCGGUGCCCGUGACCACACCACUGAAACCCACAGCCCUGGGAACAAAGACGGCGGCGAUGAGGAAGGGCGCCGCGGUUGGCGCCGGACCGGCUCCCGAGCGGCGGCCGUCCUCGGAUCCGCGCCUCCCCGGGGCCACCCCUCUCCCCGCCCCACCGCGCCGCGCCGCGUUGGAUUGCGGACGCUUGUGCGGGCGACGGUGCUGCGGCAGCGGGGGCUGGGGUCGGGGACCGUCGGGGCGUGGUCCGCGGCGGCUUCCGGUCGCGGGCAUGGUCGGGCGAUGCGGGAUCUGAGCCGCCAUUGAUGGGUUUUCUUUCGAGCAUUGGUUGCGAACGUUUCGUUUUGGUAUGGUCUCUGGCUCUCUGCCUCCUCUUGCUCGUUCUUCUCCUCUUCGGCCUUCGCCUCGUCCUCGCCGUCGUCGUGCCAAAAGGCACAACGACUUAGGGCAGGUACAAUAAUGGCCCUAUAGCCAAAGCUAAUGUUGAUGUGGAGGAGAGAAGGAGAGAGAUGAUAGCUUGACUCUAUUAUUGACCUUGCUCUUAUAAUUUGGAAUGGAGCGAGUAAUUAUUGAUUCUUUUCCUUGUGUGCCAUUAUAACUGCUCGAAAUUCCAUAUGACCGACUAAGACCUUCUUUAGUUCCAAGUUACUCCCAUAGGAUCUCUAGACAUGGGAUCUCUAUGACACAUGCAUGGAAUAUUAAAUAUUACAAAGAUUAUGACUAUUCUGCGCGAGGAAUCUUUUAAGCCUAAUUAGUCGUGUGGUGCGACAGUAAACAUGUGCUAGUGACGGUUUAAUUAGGCUUAAUAAGUUUGUCUUGCGGAAAUCGAGGCCGUGCACGGACCAUUCUCAGUUUCGACCGUCGCUUCACACUGCCAUCACUACGGUGCUGCCUCGCCGCCGUUCCAUUCCCUGGCGGGGCUGGGAACCGUGCAGUGGUGCCUGAUGCGGCUUACGAGUUGGGUUUGGUCUACUGGGGCUGCCCUUAUUCGCUACUCCUGAUGGAUGGUAUGAACUGUGGAUAGAAACAGCGGCGGGGCUGCAGUGGUGAUCUACUUCCCCUGUUGUUGCCUGCUGUGCUGUGCUCUGGAUGUCCCGUUCAUCCCUGUCUUUUCUUCCCCUGCUCACCUUGCGGGCUCUCUCUCUCUCUAGCGACGAGAAGCCACCAGGUAUGCCAACCCCUUACCUUCCCUUCCUGCUGUGUGAAACUGACCACCCAAACCUUAACUUAAGCUAUUUGGCUAUUUGUAUUCGGAUCUGAUCUAAUUGCAAGUGUAUACAUGUAUUAUGGCUACUAAGAGCAUCUCCAAGAGUUUCCAAAACUCACUACCAAUCUUGAUUUUUUUGGCAAGAUUGAAAAAACUUCUCUCCAACAACUUCCUUUCUCAACUCCAUCUUUCCGCACUUGGGUAAAUCGAUCCAAUCGCACGGAAAUAUACGCGUGCGUAUCGAUUGGCCAAUCUUUGUGGCAUUUGGAUUGGCAGUAUGAGGGUGUCCCCAACGGGGUUUUAAAUAGCUAGCGAGAAGGAUUGUUUAUAUUAUUUAUAGGAGAGAGAUUGGAUGAAACAAAUUUGCUAGCGCUGAGCAAUGCGCUAGGCUCGCACAGCUCCCCAUAAGACCUGUGUCUACCUCUCUCCUCUUUGCAUGUUGUGCAUGUUGCUGCUUCUCUUUUUUUGUUCAAUCUUGUUUGCAUGUUGCUAGCGAUUUGAAGCAGUCCAUUGCGGAUGCCCUGAAUGGGAUCAGGAUAUGUGAUGAUGAGAUAUAAAGAGGUGGUUUUCUGGCAGUGGCGGAUCUAGGAUCUCAAACAUGGGGGUACGGACCUGAGCGAUGCAAUUCGCUAAUGAUAUAGUGAUGACGACUGAAUAGCGAUAAAUAGUUAGGUAUAUGAAUUUAAAGAAGCAAUUCGUCAACAUUCAUACAAAGAUAGUCAUUGUCAAGGUCUUGAUAAUAAGCAUAUUAGUUUUUGGGUGAUUCAGAGUGGAAAAAAUAAAUCUUUUGUGCUUUAUUGAGUAGUCCAUAAAAAAGCUAAAUCACUAUUCCCUGUAAUGCCUUGACCGUUCUAAGAAAAUAAAAUUAAUUAAAUAAGAUCGAGAUUCAAACUUCACAAAAGAAAUAUAAUAUAAUGAUGAUUUGGAAGGAAAAAAGAGCCAACUUUAUAUAUUUAUCUCUCAUAACUCGUUUUAUGAUUUUUAUCUGGUUUAUUUGGGCUUCCAAGCUGUAGAAGAAAUACUAGUAUGCUAUGCACGGGUUGUUUUCCCUCUUGGAUGAGCAUUUGAGCUUAAGAUAUUGAUAUUUGACAAAGUGUUUAGAAAUAUAAUAUUUUAUAGAUAUACAUACUUUGGUUUUUUACAAAAAUUUUGGGGGUACAGCUGUACCCCCAUGCACCUACACUAGAUCCGCCACUGUUUUCUGGCUUGGGUGUAAGCACCCAGUGGCCUUUGCAAGUGAAAUUUACUUUGGGUGACCGUGUAAGAGAUAGAAAUGGGCCUGAACCUGUGAAUCGAGUGCUGAUGAAGGGCGAUGAUGCCUACCUUUUCUGAUUGCAUGCCAUCGAGCAAUCAAAGCUGCUGCGAGUAUCUAAUUAGAGCUGACCCUCUCCCCUCUUGAAGCACAUUUAAUCACCCCUUUUUGUUUGUUGUUCUGCCUAGGAAGGUCAUUUGGAUAUGUGUGACAACCAGUGCAGUGCCACUUACAUUAGGAUGGUAAAUUGUGCAGCAAGGGAAGGUAGGGCUUGGUUUCUAUGAUUGAGCAAAGGUGAAGCUGAGCUCUCUCUUUUUUUUUUCUUUUUCUUUUUUCUCUUUCCGUCUUUGCAACUAUUCUCCGCUUCAAAUUCUUCCAAUCAAGAAAAUUUGCUUACAUGCUGAUGUCAGAACUUGGCAUUAGGGCAGCUCCAGUGUCUGGUUUGAUUUAUGUGCUGACAUGGAUUCUAAGAUUCGGAUGCUGUGCAUGGUUUGAGCGCUGCAGUGUUGGUGGGGGCCACCACGAAAUAGAAAAGAGUAAAGAAUGCGGCAUCCACACUGUUUCCUGUCCACACCUACUGCACAAAGGACGGCAGUAACUCCUCUCAAUCAAUUUUUUAUUGGCUUGGUUCGAACCGAAAGGAUGAGCCGCUUCCAAUAAUCGCUUUGCUUGGUUCGGUACCUGCAGUGGUGAAAGUGAACCAUACUCCUCCUCCCUCCCCAUGGUUCGGUUUCAAUACACACUGGAGCUGCUCUUAGGUACAUGUUGAGCAGCCAGCAGCAGCUGCAGCCCUCCUUCCCCAACUCCUGAUGGAUGGAUAGAUUGAUGGAUAGACCUUGCAUAGAAACGGCGGCGGCGCGAUUGGUGAUCUCCUUCCCUUGCUGUUGCUUGUGCUGUGCUCUCGAUGUUACCGUUCAUCAUUGCCUUUUCUUCUCCAGUUCACCCCCGCAUGCUCUCUCUCUCUCUCUCUCUCUCUCUCUCUCUCGUGUGUGUGUGUGGUCUCUGUUGGACCCUUCGCUAGGUCUUAACCGGGCACUUUGCCGGUGACGAGCAUCCAGGUCUCUCUCUCUCUCUCUCUCUCUCUCUAACUUAAGCUAUUCGGCUAUUUGUAUUCGGAUCUGAUCUAAUUACAAGUGUAUACAUGUAUUAUUAUGCCUACUAAGAGCAUCUCUAAGAGUUACCAAAACCCACUCCCAAUCUUGAUUUUUGGCAAGAUCUCCAGCUUCUCCCUAUCUGAACUCCCAAUAUUUACGCACUUCAGGCACUUGGGUAAAUUGAUCCGAUCGCAUGGAAAUAUACGUGCGCGUAUCAAUCGGCCAAUCUUGGUGCCAUUUGAUAGGCAGUGUGAAUGGGUCAGGAUAUGUGAUGAUGAGAUAUAAAGAGGUGGAAGCUUGGGUGUAAGCAUCCAGUGGCCAUUGCAAGUGACCAUGUUAGACAUGGAAAUGGGCCUGAACCUGUGAAUCGAGUGCUGAUGAAGGGCGAUGAUGCCUAAUUUUUCUGAUUGCAUGCCCUUCAGAAAUCUAAUUAGAGCUGACCCUCUCCCCUCUUGAGGCACAUUUAAUCAUCCCUUUUUGUUUGUGGUUCUGCCUAGGAAGGUCAUUUGGAUAUGUGUGACAACCAGCGCAGUGCCACUAACAUUAAGAUGGUAAAUUGUGCAGCAAGAGAAGGUAGGGCUUGGUUUCUAUGAUUGAGCAAAGGUGAUGCUGAGCCCUCUUUUUUUCCUCUCUCUCUCUCUCUCUAUCUGCCUUUGCAACUAUUCUCCGCUUCAAAGUUUUCCAGUCAAGAAAAUUUGUUUACGUAUUGAUGUCAGAACUUGGCAUUAAGAGCAUGUUGAUGUUGAAAUUGAAGUUGUCUCACCACGUGGCAGCAGCCAGCUGCAGCAUCAAAGAAGAAUAAUGAUUUCCUUGUUCUAAGAUAUAAUUCGGUUGUCUGUUAGAGUGUUGUGUGGCGCCCUGCAAUGGGCCCCUUUGGGAUGCUGGGUUUUCCCUGAAUCCUUUGUUUUUUCAUGUGAAUUUGAACUGAUUCAUUGGUGCGGCCCUUUGGAACAUAGGAAUUUGAUAGGGAAAUACAGGAACAUCACAGAAAUCAGUUCUUUUUCAUAGCAGAAAUGUAGGAUUCAGCAAAAAGUCCUGCAUUCCAAAACGGGCCCGAAAUUCCUGUUAGAUUCCUAUAUUCCAAAGAGGCCCUAAUGCAAGCAAUCUAGGCUUACUGGUCCUUGUUAGAUCUGCGCUUCCUGGUGCCAUCCUUCCUGCUUCAUUAUGUUGGCUUUUAUGAAGUCGAGCAGAUGGCUUGGUAACCAUGGAGUGGGUUUGCUGUGGCUUCUGGUUGGGGUUUGAUUAGAUGAUCUGGGAUCUACCCUGCGGUUGAUGUUUUUUUUAAUUAUUUGAUUGUAAUUUUAUAUCCUCCUUUGCCCCCCUACCGUACCUUGCGCCCUCCCUUGUGUGUAUGCACGCAUGUGCGAAUUUUCCAUUAUUCGUCUAAUGGUUGUUUAACCUGUUUACAUACAGUUUAAAUGCUACACUUGUCUGUUUAAGUGGCUGUUUAGCCUGAAUAAUGGCUAAAUGACAAGUGACCGACUGUUUACCAUUUAGAUCCACGGCGGAGCUGCUCCAUGGUGAAUCUGAGAUCUAGAUUCACUUUUUCAGUGAUGGAGCUCUGCCAAACAGGCCACUAGGAAUGGGUUCUGGUGGUGGUUUGGAGAACAUAUGGGGAAAUCUGUGUUCCAAAGAGGCCUGAAACUACAUCCUCUUGUCUCCUCUCCCAAAAUUCUUUCUGUAACCAUGUGGGACAUGUUUUUCACUUAUUUCUGGUGUUCACCUAUACAAAACAUUUUUAAGGUUUAUAUCAUGAAUCAUGAUGCCUUGUGUGUUAUGACUUCCUUUUUUGUCUUGUACUACUCUUCAAUGGCUAUGAUGAUUGAACUUUCCAUUAUAGAACUUAUGCAUUAUCUUCUGAGCUGGUCCCUGUGAUCUUCUAUUCUGUUUGUUCUUCACUUGCCUUCCUGCUGGAUUUGAACCUGGGACCUGGGUCAUUGUUAGUGGGACUAAUAAUAUGCCAAGUUAGUUCCAUCUCAUAAGUUCGUACCGAAGUGCCCCUCAAGAAUGAAGAAAGUAAAAAAUAUUCUCAUCUCGGGCAAUGAUCAACAACCAUGGCUGACAUAAGCGCCUUUGAGCAAUCAAGGCUGCUAUGGGAACCAAACUGGAAUCCUCUUCUUUCUCUCGGAAACCUUUUCAAUUAUGUUCUAACGGUAGUGGCUUUGUCCUUGGAUGGUCAUGCCAUUCUUCAUGGGUGAUAACCAGGGCAGGUUCAUUUAUCAGAACAAGUUGCUCUGGUGAUCAGAGAUGAUGAGGAUAUGGUUGAAUGAAUGAGCAAAGGCGAAGCUGAGCCCCCCAACCCCCCAAAUACACACAAAAAAAGAGAAAAAAAGAAUAGAGAAGGACGUUGUAUCCUUUUUCCUUUUGUUGUGCUUGUCUCUUAAUGCUAUGUAUUCCCAUUUGAAUUUUGUUGAUUUGUUGGUUGAAAUGUUUCCUAAUUUUUGCCGUUGAUUCUGCUGUCAGUGUUUGCAUUGUCCUUGGUUUGCAUGACGGAUAUUUUUGGUUAAGUUUGUUGAUCCCAGAAUUUAUUGCAGUAGUUUCAUGAGAUGUUGAGAUCAUGCACUCUUCAAGUUGGAGCUGGAUGAGUUUGAACUUAAGAGGCCAUCACAACUAUUAUAGCCGUGCUGCAGCAUUGAUCCAUUUUGGUAGUUCCUAUACGUUUUCUUUUCUGAUGUUUUUUUGAUGCCUGUCUAUUCACCUUUCUUUCUUGUUUGGAACUGUUCUUCAGUGUCUAAUGAUCAGACGUCCCAACCCUAUAGGGCUAUUACUUUGCAACAUCCUGAAUUGUUUGCUUUGUUAUUUUGCUUGAUUUGCUGCCAAACUAGGAUCUAGUUUGCAACUAAUUGUUGCCAUUGCUGCUGUGGUGGUGUAGUAUAUUGUAUAUAUUCGAAUGAACGUUCCUACUUAGUUCAUUUAGAGAGGGAGGGAGUACAUGGUGCUUAUACAAAUAUUGUGUUGAUACUGGGGCAAAUCUGAGCAUUCAAAAUGAUGUGGUGCUUCGACAAGUAUUCUGUUCUGUACUUUGAUUAUGAUCCUCAUACUUAUGUUUAUGAUUCUCUUUCCUUCAUGGUAUCCUGCCUUUUCUAGUGAUUUCAACUUGGGACCAGGAUCAUGUUACUAAUGGGACUAACUUGGAUUUGAUGACAUUUAAGAUUCCUGACCUGGGUAGAUAUCGAUGCAUAUUUUUUGGUUCGGACACACAAGCUUACUUGGAUUAAUUGCUCAUUUAGUCAUUUUGUUCUAAAAUCUAAAGAAUGUUUUCUUUUCCGACAAACUCAUAUUUAACCACUUCCAUUCUUCCAACAAUACUUUGGGCAGACAACCUUGGCAUUAAUGGUCCUAAAUCCUAAUUGUGCACCAUGACCGUGAUGAAUCUUGGUUGAUCAAACAAAUGGAUAGACAUACUAAAUUACUAUCAUGAGUGUGGCUGUACUUUUUGGUCAUGUGUGUGAAAACUUCUCGUUGUGUGUGCAGUUCACAAAGGAACAGGCUAUUUCUUGGCCUGCAUGUUUAGGUCAUGGCUCAUAAGUUCGGCCGCAAAAGCUAAGAGUAGUUAGGAGUCAAUACUAUACUUUGUUGGGGAUAUAAUAAUUCCACCUAUGAAACAGCACAAGGUCAACUUAUCAGAGCCUCGCCCUCUGACCGCUGCUUCUUGUUGCUCCUCCCACUGAUUGAACCACACGAGCUCUGAUGAAGUUGUUGCCUUGCAUCCUUCUUAGGUAUGUGAUUACAUCCACGUUGUUGACCUGGUUGAUGGCCAUAUAGCAGCCCUGACGAAGUUCUAUGAAGAAUCGGACAAAAUAGUACAUGUAGGGUACUAGGGUGUGAAGUAUACAAUCUGGGGACAGGAUAGGGGACAUCGGUGUUGGAAAUGGUGGCUGCAUUUGAAGAAGGUUUCUGGGAAGAUCCUAAAUUAAAGGAACAGCCUCCUAACAGGCAACUGUGGCUGAUACUUAGCCACUAGAGGCUGCUGUUGCCUUCUUCCUGGUGUAUUGCUUUCCAAUAAAAGCGUCCACAACCAUGUUUGCUGGGUGAAGACCUGGAGACAAGAGAUUGUCUAUGCCGCAACUGCCAAGGCAAAGAAAGAGCUCAAAUGGAAGGCAAAGUGGGAUCGAGGAGAUGUGUAGAGAUCUGUGGAAUUGGGCAAGCAAGAACCCAUACGGCUAUGCUGGAUCACGCGACAACAGCAAAUGAAUCAUCUAUCCAUCCAUCUAUCCAUCGUGCAGUAGUAGCAAGCAGCAAACUGAGCAGCAGCAGGCUAUACUACCAUAAUUAAUAGCUCAUCAUAUGUAUAGUCAGUCAGUCAUCUAAUUAGGGGAUGCUGCGAUGGGACUUGUCUCUUUAAUGUAUAGAGAGACGAGUAGGGGGUUCCAUCUCAUCCGCACCCGAUGCCAGCAUCUUCCCCUUUUUUUUUAAAAAAAAAGGAGAAAAAAACAUUCCUGUAUGAUUGUUAGGCCAGUCUUGAUAUUACUCCAUGGUUUGUUGCUAGGAAAGGAAUAAACUCCAUACAUACCUAAUUAUAGAUACACUGACUGUCUCUGAUAAUAUGAUACCAUACUUGAUUCG